UACGGAGGGUGCAAGCGUUAUCCGGAUUUACUGGGUUUAAAGGGUGCGUAGGUGGAUAAUUAAGUCAGUGGUGAAAUCUUCAGGCUUAACCUGGAAACUGCCAUUGAUACUAUUUAUCUUGAAUACUUUGGAGGUAAGCGGAAUAUGUCAUGUAGCGGUGAAAUGCUUAGAUAUGACAUAGAACACCAAUUGCGAAGGCAGCUGGCUACACAUAUAUUGACACUGAUGCACGAAAGCGUGGGGAUCAAACAGG
rnacentral:rRNA from 1 species